rnacentral:rRNA from 1 species
UACAGAGGGGGCAAGCGUUAUUCGGAAUUAUUGGGCGUAAAGGGCGCGUAGGCGGCCUUGCAAGUGGCGGGUGAAAUCCCUCGGCUUAACCGAGGAACUGCCUGCCAGACUGCAAGGCUCGAGACCGGGAGAGGUGAGUGGAAUUCCCAGUGUAGCGGUGAAAUGCGUAGAUAUUGGGAGGAACACCAGUGGCGAAGACGGCUCACUGGACCGGAACUGACGCUGAGGCGCGAAAGCGUGGGGAGCAAACAGG